UAUUUCGUGCCAACCUCACCCUAAGUCAC
rnacentral:piRNA from 1 species